CAUUGAGAAAGACUCCAGCAGAUGUGUUCUCUCUUCUAGCCACCGUUUCUAUCAUUAUUAUAAUGACUUCUGCAUGUUGGUGUUGAGUAUUUUUGUGUCACCUCCAUUCAUUCAUUUGUCAUUGACUCUCCCUCUUAAACUAGUCCUUUUCAGAAUGUCAGUCAUCAUGAAUAUUCUCCUUGUGCAUUUUCUUCUUUUGCGAGGCCGCCAGUGUGCAACAGGCUAAGCGGAACGUUGGUGUCAUAACUGUCACUGGCCUUGAAGAGUCUGCCAAAGAAUUACUUCUAGCAAUGAAAAAGCGCAUUCUUCUGUUGAGCAUAGAAGGGAGGUAACUACUGAAUGCUAGAACCAAAAAUGAAAAACCAAAAAAGUCAAGAAACUGAGAACACCUGAACAAACAUAAACAAAUGAAAGUAAGAUGGCCGUUUCAUGUUGAUCUUGUCUGGAAUGUGACCAGAGUUGCGUUUAAUUUUCCUGGAAUAGGAAGCUGAGAGUUUAAGAAGUGAGUUGUUUUAAAGGUCCAUAAGAAUUACUUUAUAUAUCUGGGCACCUCAUAACACAAAAUGAAGAAGCCUACCUGUGACCUUUGUGGAAAGAUGUUCUCUCGCCGAGACAACAU
rnacentral:lncRNA from 1 species